rnacentral:lncRNA from 1 species
GGGCAGCCUAGAGCGUCCCAGGUGCGCUCUCGCUUCCGGGUCAGUAGCUUGGCGGCCCCGGGGCUGGAGAGGAAGAGCGUGGGUUCCAACGAUUUUGAGGGUUCCGACGGUUUUGUCGAUGGCUUGUGGCAGGGUCGGCGCCCUGUCGCAGGCGUUGGACCUUCCUGCGACUUCAGCCUGCGGUGCGCUGACUCUGAUGUGGGGUCCCCAGCUUCCCACGGUGCAACGGGCGCCGUGGGGAACCCGGCCAGCAGCAAUCCGAGCAUCUUCCCUCUGGUUGCAUUCUGUUACGCCUGCCUCUCUGCAGACCCUGGGCUGUCAGUGCCCGCUCCCUGUCCUGUUUGUCCAAGGCCAGAAGACAGUGCAGGAAGCCAGGGAUACCAGUCAUGCUUCAAACCGCUUGGCCUCAGGUCAGUUGAGCUUCCUUUCAGUCUGUCCUCAGACAAGCUAUCCGGUUAUCCGAAAAGGCUGAAAAAGGCUCCUUCGGCCAGGCUGUGGUUUUCUCUGCCUCCCAUUACCAAGGACUGUGGCCCUUGUAAGCGUGCGGUGGAGGAAGGAAGUUUUGACAAUAGUGAGGUUGGCAACCCAGGUGGAAGUGGAAGAAAGUCAGACGUUCUUCCUUGAAGCGUUUGUUUCACCCAUUGUGGGUGUGUCCCUGAGAGACCAGCGUUCAGUGUGUGCAUCUUUUUUUUUUUUUCUUUCUUUUAUUUUUUUGAGACAGGGUCUUCCUGUAGCCCCAGCUGGCCAGGAACUCGCUGUGUAGACCAGGAUGGCCUUGAACUCACAGAGAUAUAUCUGCCUCUGCCUCCCGAGAGCUGGGAUUAAAGGUGAGUGCCACCACGGCCAGCAUGCAUCUUCUGCUUUUUUUUUUUUUUUUUCAUCUUUUUGAGUCAGGGUCUCCCUGUAGCUAGCCCCAGCUGUCCUGGAUUCACUAUGUAGACCAGGCUGGCCUUGAACUCAUGGACAUCUGCCUCUGCCUCUCAAGUGCUGGGAUUAAAGGCGUACGCCACCAUGCCCAGCCAAAAUAGGUAUAUGAAUGAAGCAUUUUUUUUUUUUUUGGUCUUUUUGAGACAGGGUCCCCCUGCAGCCCCAGCUGUCCUGGAACUCACUAUGUAGACCAGGCUGGCCUUGAACUCACAGAGAUCCUCCUGCCUCUGGCUCCCAAGUGCUGGGAUUAAAGGUGUGCGCCACCAUACCCGGCUGCAUCUUCUGCUUUUAAACUUUUAUUUUACAUUAUUGUGUACGUGUACAUAUAAACUUGCCACAGAGUGCAUGGAGGUCAGAAGACAGCUUCCACGUUGGAUUCAGGGGAUUGACCUCAAGUAGUCAGGCUCUGCAGCAAGCUCCUUUACCCUUGAGCCACCUACCAGUCCCAACGUUUUCCUUUUCUUUCCCUUCCUUCCUCUUCCCUCCCUUUCUCCCUUCUUCCCUCCCCUCCUUCCCCUCUCCCCCUCUCCCCCUUCCUCCCUUCCUUCCUCUCCCCCUUCCUCCUUCCCUUUCCUUCUUUCUCCCUCACUCUCUUCCUUCCAGACAACCUCACUGUAUAGCUAGCUAUGAGGACCAAGUUGACCUCAAACUCACGGAGAUCUUCCUGCCCCUGCCUCCCUGAGUGCUGGGAUUAAAAAUUGCACAAUCAUUAGAUUGGGCCAAACCAGCAUAAGCAGAGCUCCUCAAGAGGAAGAAGGCUAGUAUACUCUAGAAACUGGAUGAGGUCAGUGAAUGUGGUUACAGACAAAUGGGAAGGACUGUUUGGGGUAGGAGGAGAUUGGUAGUGGUGGACUAGGAAAUGUGAGGCUCUGGUGAUGGCUGGGAGUGAGGCUGGCUGGGCUGUAGUGGGGG